ensembl:snoRNA
CUGCAUCUACGGAUAGACCUUGAUCAGUUUGCUGCUGUUCUUUUGGUUUGCACUAAGAUGUGGAAGAAAAAUCCCUGCACUUUCUUUCUGUCUUUGUGGCAGCUCAGAUUGAAUUUGGGAAUACAUUU